rnacentral:rRNA from 1 species
GACGGAGGGUGCUAGCGUUGUUCGGAAUUACUGGGCGUAAAGGGCGCGUAGGCGGCUUUCUUGCGUCGGAAUGUGAAAGCCCGGGGCUCAACCCCGGAACGGCAUCCGAUACGGGGAAGCGUGGAGACCGGGAGAGGAGGGUGGAAUAGCCAGUGUAGAGGUGAAAUUCGUAGAUAUUGGCUGGAACACCGGUGGCGAAAGGCGGCUACUCUGGCCCGGUUCUGACGCUGAGG